rnacentral:rRNA from 1 species
CCUGAGAAACCCGAAAGUUCGAACGGGGAGAUUCAUCGUCAGCGAUCCCGGUUGGUCUGUGGCUCGCGAUGUCGGGGGACCUCGCGUCGCCCGGCACGCGGCCGCACGUCUCUAUUACCGGGUGUCGUCGGCGUGCACUUCUCCCCUUGUAGGACGUCGCGACCCGUCGGGUGUCGGUCUACGGCCCGGGGACGAAGCCUGUUCCGUCGUUGCGCGCUUCGCGGCGUCGCUUCGCGGAACAGCCCUCCGUGCGCCCGACCCGGCUGCCCGGCGGUACACGCACGGUAUCCGGCCGCAAUUAUUCGAACUGCGUCCGGCCCGCCGCAAGCCUUGCGUCAGCAGUAACUCGGAUGUUCGGACUCAGCGCCGGCGCCGAGCCUGACCGGCUGUUCGUCGGCGGUGCUCUUGGACAGGCCAAAUUUGUCAUUGUGAUACCGGUCGGCGACGCUAUUGCUUUGGGUACUUUCAGGACCCGUCUUGAAACACGGACCAAGGAGUCUAACAUGUGCGCGAGUCAUUGGGAACACGUUAAACCUAAAGGCGAAAUGAAAGUGAAGGUCGGCCUCGCGCCGACCGAGGGAGGAUGGGUCGCGUCGCAACGCGAUCCCGCACUCCCGGGGCGUCUCGUUCUNNUCGCGAGAAGAGGCGCACCCA